GCUUAUAGCUCGGCUGUAGAGCAUAUGCUUUGUGUGCAGAAGCUCCCAGGUUCAAUCCAUGGCAUCUGCA